UCAUUGACUAAGGGUAAAACAAGGCGAUGAAUGAGCACCAGAAAAUAAUCCACUGGGUUACCAUCUCCAUCCAUGUACUGAAUGGAACUUUGAGGGAAAUUUUAAGGAAAGAUCCUCAACAUUAAUUUACUAGUUUCAUCCAGCACGUAUAAAUUCAUUACACCGCUUCAAUAAUUAAAGCCACGUAUUCUGACAAUUCAUACAAUAGUUGCUUACUUUAGUUCCGUUCAUUUUAAGUUCUGACGUCUCCUUGAAAACCUUCUUGAUGGCAUUAACCUCUGCCAAAUCUCCAGCAAGUGUUGAUGUUGCAUGACAGUUAGCAUAAUUCACCUGAGAAAUAUAAAGAUUUCCUCGUCAUCAAGAAUCCACCAUGCCACAAAAAUCGUACAAGGGGAUAUGAAGAUAUGAGUUACGCAUGUAGUAUUGCCAACCUCUUCCGGGGACACUCUGGCAUCUUGCAAGCUUUUCUCUAUGCAGGAAGAAACGCCAAGACCAUCAGAUCGAGGAUCAGUCAUAUGAUGAGCAUCACAUGUUAUCGCCCCCCCGAGGAGGUCGUUGAUUUUGUACAGGGGUGCGGCAGAGGCAUAAGAGCAUCUGGAGAAUUGUCAGUCUGCUUAGUCGCAAACACGCUGCUUAUUGACCAAAUUUUCAUUAAGCUUCAGACCAUUUAUCAGUUCUGAUACUUUUUAUUCGAAUUAUUGGUCAUUGGUCCCUCAUGAGUUUGAGACGGAUACUGGCGCACAUACACAAUCAAAUUUUCUUUCUUAAGUAGGACUUGCUAAAGAUAAUCUGUAAUGUGUAUAUAUUUCUACAACGUAUGAGAAGACUCUUAAAUUAUAAGCAGCAUCAUUUACUAUCAAAAGAAAAGCAUUAGUA